GCGUUAAGUUGCAGGGUAUAGACCCGAAACCCGGUGAUCUAGCCAUGGGCAGGUUGAAGGUUGGGUAACACUAACUGGAGGACCGAACCGACUAAUGUUGAAAAAUUAGCGGAUGACCUGUGGCUGGGGGUGAAAGGCCAAUCAAACCGGGAGAUAGCUGGUUCUCCCCGAAAGCUAUUUAGGUAGCGCCUCGUGAAUUCAUCUCCGGGGGUAGAGCACUGUUUCGGCUAGGGGGCCAUCCCGGCUUACCAACCCGAUGCAAACUGCGAAUACCGGAGAAUGUUAUCACGGGAGACACACGGCGGGUGCUAACGUCCGUCGUGAAGAGGGAAACAACCCAGACCGCCAGCUAAGGUCCCAAAGUCAUGGUUAAGUGGGAAACGAUGUGGGAAGGCCCAGACAGCCAGGAUGUUGGCUUAGAAGCAGCCAUCAUUUAAAGAAAGCGUAAUAGCUCACUGGUCGAGUCGGCCUGCGCGGAAGAUGUAACGGGGCUAAACCAUGCACCGAAGCUGCGGCAGCGAACGUAUCACCCAAGACAACUUUACGGAGUUGACGAUUGACGGAGCGAAGCGACGUCAAAGCGUUCAUUAAAGUCGAGUUGGCUUAGGGAUACGUUCGUUGGGUAGGGGAGCGUUCUGUAAGCCUGUGAAGGUGUGUCGUGAGGCAUGCUGGAGGUAUCAGAAGUGCGAAUGCUGACAUAAGUAACGAUAAAGCGGGUGAAAAGCCCGCUCGCCGGAAGACCAAGGGUUCCUGUCCAACGUUAAUCGGGGCAGGGUGAGUCGACCCCUAAGGCGAGGCCGAAAGGCGUAGUCGAUGGGAAACGGGUUAAUAUUCCCGUACUUGGUGUUACUGCGAAGGGGGGACGGAGAAGGCUAUGUUGGCCGGGCGACGGUUGUCCCGGUUUAAGCGUGUAGGUGUGUGUUCCAGGUAAAUCCGGUUCACUUUAACACUGAGGCGUGACGACGAGGCACUACGGUGCUGAAGCAACAAAUGCCCUGCUUCCAGGAAAAGCCUCUAAGCAUCAGGUAACAUCAAAUCGUACCCCAAACCGACACAGGUGGUCA
rnacentral:rRNA from 1 species